UAGGGAAUCUUCGGCAAUGGACGGAAGUCUGACCGAGCAACGCCGCGUGAGUGAAGAAGGUUUUCGGAGCGUAAAGCUCUGUUGUUAGAGAAGAACGUUGGUAGGAGUGGAAAAUCUACCAAGUGACGGUAACUAACCAGAAAGGGACGGCUAACUACGUGCCAGCAGCCGCGGUAAUACGUAGGUCCCGAGCGUUGUCCGGAGUUAUUGGGCGUAAAGCGAGCGCAGGCGGUUCUUUAAGUCUGAAGUUAAAGGCAGUGGCUUAACCAUUGUACGCUUUGGAAACUGGAGGACUUGAGUGCAGGAGGGGAGAGUGGAAUUCCAUGUGUAGCGGUGAAAUGCGUAGAUAUAUGGAGGAACACCGGUGGCGAAAGCGGCUCUCUGGUCUGUAUCUGACGCUGAGGCUCGAAAGCGUGGGGAGCAAACAGG
rnacentral:rRNA from 1 species